rnacentral:rRNA from 1 species
GACGAACGCUGGCGGCGUGCCUAAUACAUGCAAGUCGAGCGGAUGGAAGGAAGCUUGCUUCCUAAAGUCAGCGGCGGACGGGUGAGUAACACGUGGGCAACCUGCCCCUAAGAUCGGGAUAACUUCGGGAAACCGGAGCUAAUACCGGAUAUGAUUAUGUCUCACAUGAGACAUAAUGGAAAGACGGUUUCGGCUGUCACUUAGGGAUGGGCCCGCGGCGCAUUAGCUAGUUGGUGAGGUAACGGCUCACAAGGGCGACGAGGCGGAGCCGACCUGAGAGGGUGAUCGGCCACACUGGGACUGAGACACGGCCCAGACGCCUACGGGAGGCAGAAGUAGGGAAUCUUCCGCAAUGGACGAAAGUCUGACGGAGCAACGCCGCGUGAGUGAAGAAGGUUUUCGGAUCGUAAAACUCUGUUGUUAGGGAAGAACAAGUACCAUAGUAACUGAUGGUACCUUGACGGUACCUAACCAGAAAGCCACGGCUAACUACGUGCCAGCCGCCGCAGUAACAC